rnacentral:rRNA from 1 species
AUGGGCUCCACUGCCGUGGAGAAGGUCGCUGUCGCCACUGGCGACGAGGAGGCGUGCAUGUACGCGGUGAAGCUUGCAGCGGCAUCUAUCCUUCCAAUGACCCUCAAGAACGCCAUCGAGCUGGGCAUGCUCGAGAUCCUCGUGGGUGCCGGCGGGAAGAUGUUGUCACCUUCAGAGGUGGCAGCGCAGCUUCCGUCGAAGGCCAACCCGGAGGCACCGGUUAUGGUGGACCGCAUGCUGCGGCUGCUGGCAUCGAACAACGUCGUGUCAUGCGAGGUGGAGGAAGGUAAGGACGGCCUCCUCGCCCGUCGAUACGGCCCCGCGCCCGUGUGUAAGUGGCUCACACCCAACGAGGACGGCGCAUCCAUGGCUGGGCUGCUCCUCAUGACCCACGACAAGGUCACUAUGGAGAGCUGGUAUUAUUUGAAGGACGUGGCCCUUGAAGGCGGCCAACCAUUCCACAGGGCGCACGGGAUGACGGCGUACGAGUACAACAGCACAGACCCACGCGCUAACUGCUUGUUCAACGAGGCCAUGCUUAACCACUCCACCAUCAUCACCAAGAAGCUCCUCGAGUUCUACAGGGGCUUCGACAACGUCGAGACCCUCGUGGAUGUCGCCGGUGGCGUUGGUGCCACAGCCCACGCCAUCACCUCAAAGUACCCGCACAUCAAGGGGGUAAACUUCGAUCUCCCGCAUGUCAUAUCCGAGGCGCCGCCCUACCCUGGCGUGCAGCACAUCGCCGGUGACAUGUUCAAGAAGGUGCCCUCCGGCGAUGCUAUCCUCCUGAAGUGGAUCCUCCACAACUGGACCGACGAUUACUGUAUGACUCUUCUGAGGAACUGCUACGAUGCGUUGCCCAUGAAUGGCAAGGUGGUCAUCGUGGAGGGCAUCCUGCCGGUGAAACCAGAUGCAAUGCCCAGCACGCAGACGAUGUUCCAGGUCGACAUGAUGAUGCUGCUGCACACCGCAGGCGGCAAGGAGAGGGAACUGAGCGAAUUUGAAGAGCUAGCGAAGGGCGCUGGGUUCAGCACAGUCAAGACCAGCUACAUCUACAGCACCGCAUGGGUCAUUGAGUUCGUCAAAUAG